rnacentral:rRNA from 1 species
GAUGAACGCUAGCUACAGGCUUAACACAUGCAAGUCGAGGGGCAGCAUGGUCUUAGCUUGCUAAGGCCGAUGGCGACCGGCGCACGGGUGAGUAACACGUAUCCAACCUGCCGUCUACUCUUGGACAGCCUUCUGAAAGGAAGAUUAAUACAAGAUGGCAUCAUGAGUCCGCAUGUUCACAUGAUUAAAGGUAUUCCGGUAGACGAUGGGGAUGCGUUCCAUUAGAUAGUAGGCGGGGUAACGGCCCACCUAGUCUUCGAUGGAUAGGGGUUCUGAGAGGAAGGUCCCCCACAUUGGAACUGAGACACGGUCCAAACUCCUACGGGAGGCAGCAGUGAGGAAGAUUGGUCAAUGGGCGCAGGCCUGAACCAGCCAAGUAGCGUGAAGGAUGACUGCCCUAUGGGUUGUAAACUUCUUUUAUAAAGGAAUAAAGUCGGGUAUGGAUACCCGUUUGCAUGUACUUUAUGAAUAAGGAUCGGCUAACUCCGUG